AGGACGAGAACAUAAAAUAAAGCGUGUCCUAUCUUACCCAACCCUACAAUAUAAUACAGAACGGGAUAUUUUCCCGCCGUGCUAACGGUUAUCGUUGUGUUAAAUAGGAAAGCAUUAGCGCAAUUCGUAUCAACUCAGGCGUACGAGUUGUAAACAAGAGACCCGGGAGACAGUUUUGCGAACCCACGUUUCGUACGCGAGUGGUUUACUACUGGGGUGAUAGAUAGGGCGGGUUCUUCAAUCAUAAAACUGCGAUGCUUUUGUGGCAAAGGAUUUACUCCGGGCCGAUGAGUAGCUCGAAAAUCCAAGGGAUCAGUAAAACAAACACGAAAGAUGAGAGUCCUUUAUAGUAACUGCCAGCCUCGUGGAUAAUUCACAUUUAGGGGCGGGCUGAAUCAUUCGUAAUGAGACUGGCGACGCUUUGGCAGGACAGAGGGCGAAAGUUCCGUUCUAUAGGCACGUUUCUGGAUUUUUAAAGGUAAUUGGUUCGUGACGUUUACUACUAUAUAGUAGAGUGGGGGAGAUAGGGCGACUUUUACUUUUCUCGUCCCAUUUGGUAGUAAACAAAUAGUUUUUACAGAAUUAUAUAACCAUAGCCCGCCACUCUAAAAGCGAUGCAAGUUGUUAAAAACACGAUUAGGAAAUGUGUGUGUUUUAAGAUGGUAACAGUAUCCGUCUUUAACCAAAGUACUAUUUUGUGUUUUGUAUGUCACUCAAAGUAGUAAACCAACGAGUAGAAUACACCACUUCACCCAUGCGUGUAGUAGUCGGAUUAUCGCCGAAAAUUGGCGUCGGAAAAGGAAACAAAAACACAACAGCUAAAAGAGACGGUGCAUGCGAAUGUGCAUGCCUAUGUCCCACAAGCUGAGUUACUGGGUGACGUAGAGAGUGCUCGGUGCCCACUGAGGGAUGAAACUAGUUUUAUCUGACCUACCAUCUCGGGCAAGCUUGGGCUAAUUGGGACGUGGGUAUGUUACCCGUCUUGCCCCAACAAAAACUUGUCGCUAAUUUUGGUCUACCGUGGGUGAGUAAAUAAUUCGACAAAGUGAUUUAGAGGAUAAAAAAUGACGUGCCGGUCUAAGAAUCUUAAUGUUUUCACGACGAGAGAGUAAACAAGGACGAAUUAAUGCGACGCCGGGUAUAAAUAAAAAGACUUUCCAUUUUACUUUGGUUAACUAGAGUUACAUAAUGCGUCACAAUGAUUAAAGUAUGACGUCGGUCCAUUUGAAAUGGUUCCGAAAUUGGUUAAGAAUAACUUUCUCCUCGCAUUGCGGCUUAUUAAGCGAGCUGUAUGACGAAGCGCAAAUAGUGCGUAACAAAGUAACCCAUGCAACGCAUAACAUGUUGCUUCUUUACCAAAUAUGUAAACCGGUCACUCAAUUACAACACCUUGCUAAUAUGUGAUAGAUUCGGGGUGUUGGGGUGGGUAAAGCGACAACUAUGUCGGCCCAGUUGGCAGCUUGCUUUGUAAAAGAGGAUAAGGGGCGAAGGCCGAGUCGCUCGAUUUAGCUUUGUUUACGCAGGGGUUCAAGACCAUUUUACCCUCAGAACAAUAGACGCUUAUUCCAUUGUGCUUCCGUUAUGUAAGAGCCCCGGGAGCGUUAAGUGUAAUAUCUCAGCUUUACUACACAAGGCUGUAGUUUAAUUUCUAAUUUAAAGUCACCGCUUUUAAUUCAACUGCUUAAUAGUGAAAUUGACGAGUUCGGGGCCCACCUGUUCCAUGUAUGACAUCGGAGCCUUGAAACUUCUACGCCGGGCUGUUAAAUCAUUAACUUAGUCAAAUAAUAAAUCUAAAACGAUUCAUUUGUCAAUUGCGUCGGGAUUACUGAUUAACGACCGCAAAGCUAUCCAUGUUUGUCCGAGUAUUGGGCAACAAAAUAAACGUCGUCGAUGUCGACUUGAUACACAGUGGUCUUAAGGACAAUUAUUGUUGAUAACAUUUAAAGAUAACGCCAUCCGCCCCUGCUAUUAAGUUGCAUUCCGCAUCUCAACAAUAUAUUGUUGCUGUCUGCUGCGCGAGGUUAAUUCUAUGGUUGCUGUUUCACCAGCUUGUACAUAAAUAGAGCGAAUAGUCUGACAUGAGAGCACAUACAGAACAAUCCACCACCUUAGGGGCUUGUGUGUAACAAUUUAUAACUCAAGUUUCACGGAUCGAAUUUCCGCAGCAAAGUCGUAGCUUAUCGGGCGCGGACUUGGGCAAAAGUAGGGCCAAUAUGCGACGUUGUAUAACAGAUCUUUAGGCUGUCAUGCGGUGUACUAGAAUUGUCCUGGGACUUUCGUCGUUCUCACUGGAAAAGGCCGACAUUGUGGUCACACGGGUUCCGCGUUUACGAGGCAGGGAAUCGAAGCGGAAGAUUAACAAGGCGAACAUAUCGCUUACACUCCACGGCGAAAAAGCGAAAGCCGUCGUCGAUGCUACGACGUCUAAUUGCAUGUUAUCUGUUAUAGAUCCACAGGACAACACAUGGCGGCUUCACAUAGCGUUAAAUUGCGGUUUCGCUCUCAGGUCUGAUUUGUAAUUAGUAAAUGCAAAUUAUUACUUCAGCAUAUGUAGAGUCGAACCGGUGUUGGAUAUUUUUCGUAUGAUGGGCGUAGAAUGCACGCAGCGAAGUCGCCAUGGAGAAUUAGGCGGAUUUUUUCUUCAAAGGCUCGAUUUUAUUUCAAAGCGAACCGAGGAUCAAACUAAUCUGCAUAUUUUCAUUCAAGGACUUUUAUUGGAUGACGAAGACGGGCAGCGACAAUUUUGAGUCUAAAUGUUAUUCAAUUACGGGCUUAACUUAGAGCUAAAAUUGCCGGAUCAAAGUUGACAAAGACGGGUUUCUAAGCGACCAUAGAGUGAACGUGAGCCAUCUAUUACGUUACAUUUGCCUUGGCUGGAACUGACUGUAAAAAGCGCUAUCUCUUACAGUGUUGGGGUAUAUGGACAGUUUCUUUGCAUACCGACACGUGCGUUCCACCUCGAAUAGUAUGUAUACACUGGACCGAUUCUAGCUGCACAUUCACCGUGAUAUUUACCUUACACACCGGCUGCUAAAUUAAAAACGUCUCAAAAAUGAAAAAGGGCUAAAACCAACUGCAGCCUAUAUCAGCGUGAGUUCCUGGUCCGAACAAAACAAACAUAUUUUCCUUUGUUUGACCGAUCGCCAGUAGCCAACAUAAGGCACUCGAAGCCAAUCCAUCGCUUUACUAUUAAGUCUCCCAUUUUCGACAAUGAAAAGCAAACGGAGCCAGAAACGAUGUUUUCAGAGGAAGUAUUUAGGGCGCCUAGCAGCAAAUCACUUCCUUCAACCACGAUAACAUCACACGUACUUAGUGGACAAUUGAAAACCAUUGUCGCAACAGUAACAGUUUCAACAUGAAAUACCGGGUACUAAAAUGUACCAUAAUAAACUGACUGAAUUUUUUCUCAACUUAUUCAAUAAAAGUUAAAUAUGCUCCUACAUAAAUUAAGCGAUAACUAAAUCCUACCUGUCUAAACUGACCAUAUAUACAUAUACCUGUCCUAAAUACCUGUAGCUGUAAACGCUACUGACAUUCCUAAGCUACCUGUGCCCCGGCACACAGAAUAGCGAGUCCACGAUACCCCGUUAAUAUAGGCUGCUGCUGUCUGGAUUCACAAUGCGUCGUAAAUUCACUUUUUUCCUUCUCAAACAUAAAAGUGAACACGAACCAACAACGGUGUCCCCUCAGCCCCCCCUCGUGGUUGGAAACAAAUCGAUUACCGCAAUAAAAGUCUUGACUUAAAAGUGUGACAUAAAUAUAAAAACCGCAAACAAGUUUUGGUAUAAACAAUGUAGCUGGGAACCUUUGAAAAUAUAACCUCUGUGUUAUACAUUAUAAAUGGGGUUAAAAACUUGGAUUACAAUGACAGCGAAUCUUAAAACGAGUAACCAGUAUAGCAAUUAACUAGAUUUAAUGUUAAACUGGAAACGUAUGCAAGUAAAAACAUGUUGUACAUUGUAAAUAUAGUAGGAUGGGAUGGAACACCUUUGCACACAAUAUCCAAAUAUCCUGAUGGCGUUUUAAACAAUUAACAACGGUAUAUGGGAGUCGUAAGGAUACGGUUUUAUAAUUAUUUGAAUGUUCUUUGUUUACUAUCAAAUGGAAUACGACAAAGAAUGAAACGGUGUCCCAUCUCCCCUUACCCUACUGUACAAGUAGUGCGCUAAGAAAAAGCAAUGUUCUUAUGUAUCUAAGAUCUCGUAUGCGGGAUUUGUAAAAAGGCUCUGCCGGUAGCCUAUGAGAAACUAUGCUCGUUUUGGAGAUUACGUAACUCUGACCGUAUUUACAAAGGAUGCAAUGCAAUGAAUUAAGCGUCCACAUCGGUUUCCGUGAGGAAAGAGCAAUGUGAGGCAAUUAGCGGAUAUGAACGGCCUUAUCUGUUGACUCCAUUUCCAAUUAGUGUUGCCGAGUGAAAAUUUAACAAGUGUUGCCACAUAGGAUAAUACAGUACAAACAUACGUAUACAACUAUCAAUUACCACUGAAUAGCAUUUUUGGGUGUCUUUGUGUAAGUUUAAUAGUUAAAUGGGAAUGUAGAUAUAGUGUGUGAAAAGACGAAUAUGCCGUUAGCUCGUAAUGUGACAAUGUCUAAUAGUUCUCUAUCGUGUUUUAACAA